rnacentral:rRNA from 1 species
AUAUCAGUCAUGCAUAGCAUAUCAAUAAGCGGAGGAAAAGAAACUAACAAGGAUUCCCUUAGUAACGGCGAGUGAAGCGGGAAGAGCUCAAAUUUGAAAUCUUCAAGGUUUUACCUUGACGAAUUGUAGUUUAUAGAAGUGUUUUCUGUUAGUGGAGUGGCAAAAGUUCUUUGGAAUAGGACAUCAUAGAGGGUGAGAAUCCCGUAUUUGGUCAUUCCUCCUAGCGUUGUGAUACACUUUCAACGAGUCGGAUUGUUUGGGAAUGCAGUCUAAAAUGGGUGGUAAAUUUCAUCUAAAGCUAAAUAUUGGCGAGAGACCGAUAGCGAACAAGUACCGUGAGGGAAAGAUGAAAAGAACUUUGAAAAGAGAGUUAAACAGUACGUGAAAUUGUCAAAAGGGAAGUGUUUGACACCAGUGUUGUUUUUCCGAAAAUCAAUUACGAAUGUCUUGUUUUUGAGGAGUUAUGACUUCAUCGGCUUGCUCCUUUCUUUACGAAACUUUCUUAAUGCACUUUUCGGUUAACAAGUCAACAUCAAUUUCUUUUGUUGUAAAAGGGUAUGAGGAAGGUGGCUUUCUUUUCGGAGAAAGUGUUUAUAGCCUUGUACCUCUGCAAUCGGAGAGAUUGAGGUCUGCAGCGUAGAUCCUUCGGGGUUAGAUACAUUUGUGCUAAGUUAUAGCUUUUCAUAGACAACUUGUUGACUAUGUUUAGUCUUGUAGCUUACUCGCUGAUGCUAUUUUACCUACGCUUAGGAUGUUGAUGUGAUACUGCGAGCA